GCUUUCGUAUGAUAUUUUUCAAAAUAUGGAAAGUUUUUAGAAAUACAACAUAAAUAGUAGCGACCACAUUGAGCAGCCGAGAGGAUUUUAUGAUAUUUUUCAAAAUAUGGAACAAGCUUUUAAAAAAAUACAACACAAAUAGUAGCUCGAGAGGAUGAUAAGCUACACUGGAACUAAGACACAGCCCAGACUCCUACAGGAGGCAAUAGUGGGGAGUUUUCCGCAAUUGGGCAAAAGCCUGAUGGAGCAUUGCAGCAUGGAGGUAAAAGGCUAAUGGGGCGUGAACUUCUUUUUUCGAAGAAAAAACAAUGACAGUAUCAGGAGAAUAAGCAUUGAUUAACUUUGUGCCUACAGACUCGGCAAAUAUGU
rnacentral:ncRNA from 1 species